rnacentral:rRNA from 1 species
CAAGUCGAACGAGAAAGUCCCCUUCGGGGGAUGAGUAAAGUGGCGCACGGGUGAGUAACACGUAGGUAAUCUACCUUCGGGUGGGGAAUAACCCAGGGAAACUUGGGCUAACACCGCAUAAUGCAGCGGCACCACAUGGUGACAGUUGUUAAAGCGGGGGAUUUUAGGACCUCGCGCCUGAAGAGGAGCCUGCGGCGGAUUAGCUAGUUGGUAGGGUAACGGCUUACCAAGGCGACGAUCCGUAACCGGCCAGAGAGGGCGGUCGGUCACACUGACACUGACAUACGGGUCAGACUCCUACGGGAGGCAGCAGUCGGGAAUUUUGGGCAAUGGGCGAAAGCCUGACCCAGCAACGCCGCGUGAAGGAUGAAAUCCCUCGGGAUGUAAACUUCGCAAGAAUAGGAAGAAUUAGUAGGGGCUAAUACCCCCUAUGAUGACGGUACUAUUUGUAAGCUCCGGCUAACUCCGUGCCAGCAGCCGCGGUAAUACGGGGGGAGCAAGCGUUGUUCGGAUUUACUGGGCGUAAAGGGCGCGUAGGCGGUAGCACAAGUCAGUUGUGAAAUCUCCGGGCUUAACUCGGAAAGGUCAACUGAUACUGUGCGACUAGAGUGCAGAAGGGGCAACUGGAAUUCUCGGUGUAGCGGUGAAAUGCGUAGAUAUCGAGAGGAACACCUGCGGCGAAGGCGGGUUGCUGGGCUGACACUGACGCUGAUGCGCGAAAGCCAGGGGAGCGAACGGGAUUAGAUACCCCGGUAGUCCUGGCCUUAAACGAUGGAUGCUUGGUGUCUGGAGUUUUAUAGUCUCCGGGUGCCGCAGCUAACGCGUUAAGCAUCCCGCCUGGGGAGUACGGUCGCAAGACUGAAACUCAAAGGAAUUGACGGGGACCCGCGCAAGCGGUGGA